rnacentral:lncRNA from 1 species
AGCGGCGAAGCAUCUGGCUACGGGAGCCACGCCGGGACAAAAUUCCCGAGGGACGUAGGCGAACCCAAGGCAGCGUCAGCCCCGCGCCGCAUCCGCGUGGGCUCCGUUGCUAGGGGCUCCGUUGCUAGGGGCUCCGAGGAGUUCCGGCCUUGGCGGCAGCGGGUGGCAAGUUUCCAGGGAGCCCCAAGGUUCUCGAUCCGUGCGGCGGGGCGCCCUGCGGUGAGUCCAGGACGCAGAGAAGAGUCUCGCGGGAACCUCACCCGAGGCGGCACCGGCGCCCGGGCAAGCCGAGCCCUUCCGCGAUGAGUCGGCGCCCUGGGGUCGCUGCGCCAAGAGCUCAGGAGAGGCGCCUCCCCUCCUCGGUGUCUCCGCAGCCCGCACGGCCCUCCCGCCCAAGACCCCGGGGCGACCCCUUCCCGCGUGGCGGGGCCAGCGAGCUCCUCUUGCGGGGCGUGGACGGGGCCGGGGUGCCCGGGCAGGCGCCGCCCCGGAGCCCACGGUCCACGCGCUCCCAGCGGCCCUGACUUUCUCCUUGAUGGAACUGGUUGACUUCACGGAAUAUAUGGAGUGACUUUUCCCACUGGAUUGGAAACUGUUUUAAGCCUGAAUAAUGUUAGAUACAAUGAGUUCUAAACUUCCCUUCAAAGAAUCAGUAUAUCAGUAUGUUCAGUCUUUGUCCUGCAUUUUAAAGUCUACCUUCCUCGCAGUUUCAGUAAACAACCUUUUCCACCAGUUCUAGUCAGUAGUUGACAUCUGUUGCCCUGGUCACCUGCUCCGUCCUAACUAAUCCCGGUCUCCUGCUUUGACCUGAGUCACCUUUAGUUACCUGUCCCAUAACCAUUUUUCCCGCCAAACCACUCACCCCGCCACUCUGGCCCAUACUCCUGCUCCCUUUAAAAUAGCCAAUGGGCACUAGUUUAGACUGUGCAUUCUAACCCUAGCCAAUAGGGGAACCACACAGCAGUAGGGGCUACCCGCGUCAGGAAUAAGAACCCCUUCCCCUCCCUUGUCCAAGCGCUCGCCAUUGCUCCAUCUAUGAGAUAACCCCUUCCCCUCCCUUGUCCAAGC